AUGCAUGUCUCCCCAGCACCGAUCCUGUGACCCAAAAUCCCUCUUACCUAUAUAACUACUUCCUUAACGCCAAUCAGUUGAGAUCACCUUUCGCCUUGUCAGUGGUGUUCAGGUGGACCAAACCAUUGAAUGGACAAACCAUUACUUUAUUGACCAACGACUUCUUCCCCAGAGUGUGUGUCCCAACAUUUGAGGUCACUGUGUCCUAUAAUAAUGGCGUCUAUACCGUCAACUUGUAUACAGUAGCUGUUGAUGAACUCACCAAAAAUAGAUUAGCAGGCAGUACUCAAGCCUCUAUAGCACUGGCGGUGGACAACUUUCUAGAAACUUUAGUUCUUUUUGAUGGGGCAUUGAGCGGUCAGUUGAUUGACCGUGGACCAAGUGGACUGAGUACAGCAGUGACCAACAAAGUGUUAAUACCAGCUA
rnacentral:sRNA from 1 species